AGAGUUUGUUCCUGGCUCAGAACGAACGCUGGCGGCGUGCUUAACACAUGCAAGUCGAACGAGAAAGUUUCUUCGGAAACGAGUAAAGUGGCGCACGGGUGAGUAACGCGUAGAUAACCUGUCCAAGCGACUGGGAUAGCCCUUCGAAAGGGGGAUUAAUACCGGAUACGUUGAUUGUUUUUAAGGACAAUCAAGAAAGGUGGCCUCUAUUUAUAAGCUAUCACGCAUGGAGGGGUCUGCGUACCAUUAGUUUUGUUGGUGGGGUAAUGGCCUACCAAGACUACGAUGGUUAACGGGUCUGAGAGGAUGAUCCGUCACACUGGCACUGAAACACGGGCCAGACUCCUACGGGAGGCAGCAGUGAGGAAUAUUGCGCAAUGGGGGCAACCCUGAUCCAGCCAUGCCGCGUGUGUGAAGAAGGCCUUAGGGUUGUAAAAACCUGUCAGAAGGGAAGAACCGCUACAGUUCAAAUAGGGCUGUAGCCUGACGGUACCUUCAAAGGAAGCACCGGCUAACUCCGUGCCAGCAGCCGCGGUAAUACGGAGGGUGCAAACGUUGCUCGGAAUCACUGGGCGUAAAGGGUGCGUAGGCGGCCCAAUAAGUCAGAUGUGAAAGCCCUCGGCUCAACCGAGGAAUUGCAUUUGAAACUGUUGGGCUUGAGUUCGGUAGAGGAAAGCGGAAUUCCUGGUGUAGCGGUGAAAUGCGUUGAUAUCAGGAGGAACACCGGUGGCGAAGGCGGCUUUCUGGGCCGAUACUGACGCUGAUGCACGAAAGCGUUGGGUAGCAAACGGGAUUAGAUACCCCGGUAGUCCACGCCCUAAACGAUGAGUACUAGAUGUCGGGACCCUUGAGGUUUCGGCGCCGUAGCUAACGCGUUAAGUACUCCGCCUGGGGACUACGGCCGCAAGGCUAAAACUCAAAGGAAUUGACGGGGGCCCGCACAAGCGGUGGAGCAUGUGGUUUAAUUCGACAACGCGAAGAACACCUUACCUGGGCUUGACAUCCCGAUCGCGUACCGCUUGGAAACUUGGGGGUCAGCUUGGCUGGAUCGGUGACAGGUGCUGCAUGGCUGUCGUCAGCUCGUGUCGUGAGAUGUUGGGUUAAGUCCCGCAACGAGCGCAACCCUUGUCCUUAGUUGCCAGCAUUAAGUUGGGCACUCUAGUGAGACUGCCGGUGAUAAUCCGGAGGAAGGCGGGGACGACGUCAAGUCAUCAUGGCCCUUAAGCCCAGGGCUACACACGUGCUACAAUGGCCGGUACAAAGGGUCGCGAUACCGUGAGGUGGAGCUAAUCCCAGAAAGCCGGUCUCAGUUCGGAUUGUAGUCUGCAACUCGACUACAUGAAGGCGGAAUCGCUAGUAAUCGCAGAUCAGCAACGCUGCGGUGAAUACGUUCCCGGGCCUUGUACACACCGCCCGUCACACCACGAGAGUCGACUCUUCCGGAAGUGGCUGGCCCAACCUCGUGAGGGAGGUCACCAAGGAGGGGUUGGUGAUUGGGGUGAAGUCGUAACAAGGUAACC
rnacentral:rRNA from 1 species